CAGAGCCCCCCCCGUCCUUCCCCGCCGCCCCCCGGUUCCACCGGCACCGAGCGGCCGCCGGGCCCGGCUCCGAGCAGCGCCCUGCUCAGGCCUGAAGGAGAUUUUUCUUUUUAUUCACGUUCGUGCACAUGAAACCUUUUGUCUCGGCCCGCGGAUGGCCGGCCUUGCCGCAGACAGCCGCCAGCGGUUCAGGGUCAGCGGCAAUUUCCAGCCCCGGGGGGACACGGGCAGAAGGUGACCGGGCCGGUCCCCUCCCGGACACUUGUCGCCGGAGGGAGGCGGCGGAGGUGCGGGGCGCCAGGGGAGUGGACAGGGAGUGGACAGGGAGUGGACAGGACCUCUUGUCCCCCGGCUGUGCCCUCCCAGCCCCGCCGCAGCCCCCGCCCGCCCCGCGCCGCCGCCGAGCGAGAGCCGGCUAUUUUUCUCAGGAUGUGACUUCCAAGUGGCAUAAUCUGUGGGAGUGUGAAUCUGUUCUCGUUAUGUUUGUCCCCUUCGAUUGUUCCGAGGAGACUACCUCCCUAAUGACUUCAUCUCCAAAAGUUGACUGACACUCUAGCGAACUGCCAACACCUGUUUCCCAGCACCCAGACUCCAGAACCCACCAGACCUCGUAAAUUUAGCUUCUCCCUUCUCCCCCCACCCUCCCUUAAUAGAUGACGUGAAUAUCUGAAGGGAAGGGGGGAGGGGGAGAUGGAAGUAGGUCACAUUUGAAACUUUUUGAUUUUUCAUCUCUUCUGAGCGAAACGCGGAGGUGAAAGGGCCGGCCGGCUCCUGCCGCUGCCCGUCCCGCCGGGUGCCCGGGGCUGCUGGGCUCGGGCUCCAGGGUGGGGUUUGGGACAAAGCUCCUGCCUGCCCGGCAGAUCCCAGGAGCUGGAACCGUGACCCGAACCCUUUCCCCGCCUCUGCCUUUCCCCGUGGAUGCUGCGGGUCUCUUUGGUCCCGCCUGGCCCCGCGGGUCCCUCCCCAGCGCCUCGCUGCAGGGGUGACACCGAGGGGACAGGGGUGGCACAGGGCAAAUUGUCACUCCGAGGAGAGGGACAGAGCGGAGCGGCUGUCCCUGGGGGGAGGAGGAGUAGGACAGCGGCCAGCAUCGCCCCGAAGCCUGCGGGAAGGAUGGAGGUGGCCGGGACACGGGAGGUUCCCGAGCUGGGUGGCACUGCCCGGCUCCUCGGGACGCCCGUCCUUCCCUGCACGGGUUUUAGAGGUUCAUUCUCAAGAGAAAAAAAAAUUAAAAAUUAAAAAAUAUAAAAAAUAAAGAAGGGAAGAAAUUCA
rnacentral:lncRNA from 1 species